rnacentral:rRNA from 1 species
UAACGCGUGGAUAACCUGCCGUAUGCAGGGGGAUACCAACUGGAAACAGUUGCUAAUACCGCAUAAGCGCACGGUGUCGCAUGACACAGUGUGGAAAGGUUUAACGGCAUACGAUGGAUCCGCGUCCGAUUAGCCAGUUGGCGGGGCAACGGCCCACCAAAGCAACGAUCGGUAGCCGGCCUGAGAGGGCGGACGGCCACAUUGGGACUGAGACACGGCCCAAACUCCUACGGGAGGCAGCAGUGGGGAAUAUUGCACAAUGGGGGAAACCCUGAUGCAGCGACGCCGCGUGAGUGAAGAAGUAUUUCGGUAUGUAAAGCUCUAUCAGCAGGGAAGAAAGGUGCCCCUUGGGCGCCUGGACGGUACCUGACUAAGAAGCCCCGGCUAACUACGUGCCAGCAGCCGCGGUAAUACGUAGGGGGCAAGCGUUAUCCGGAUUUACUGGGUGUAAAGGGAGCGUAGACGGCAGAGCAAGUCCGGAGUGAAAGCCCGGGGCCCAACCCCGGGACUGCUCUGGAAACUGUUAAGCUGGAGUGCGGGAGGGGCAGGCGGAAUUCCUGGUGUAGCGGUGAAAUGCGUAGAUAUCAGGAGGGACACCGGCGGCGAAGGCGGCCUGCUGGACCGUGACUGACGUUGAGGCUCGAAAGCGUGGGGAGCAAACAGGAUUAGAUACCCUGGUAGUCCACGCCGUAAACGAUGACUACUAGGUGU